ACGGGUACGACGUUGGCAACGU
rnacentral:miRNA from 2 species